GCUAAGCAUGCCGGUGCUGAGGGGCUCUUCUCCCUGCUCCUCGCUGAGGAAUUAAGAGAAGUACUCAAAGAACACGAGUGGAUAUA
rnacentral:lncRNA from 1 species